rnacentral:rRNA from 1 species
AUGAACGCUAGCGGCAGGCUUAAUACAUGCAAGUCGAGGGGCAGCAGUCCCGCAGCAAUGCGGGAGCUGGCGACCGGCAAACGGGUGCGGAACACGUACAGAACCUUCCUUCGAGCGGGGAAUAGCCCAGAGAAAUUUGGAUUAAUACCCCACUAGCAUUACGAAGUGGCAUCACUUUGUUAAUUAAAGAUUUAUCACUCGAAGAUGGCUGUGCGGCUGAUUAGGAGUUGGCGGAGUAACGGCCCACCAAGCCUUCGAUCAGUAACUGGUGUGAGAGCACGACCAGUCACACGGGCACUGAGAC